GACUACUGGGGUAUCUAAGCCUGUUUGCUCCCCACGCUUUCGCUUCUCAGCGUCAGGAAAGGUCCAGAGAACCGCCUUCGCCACUGGUGUUCCUCCCGAUAUCUGCGCAUUCCACCGCUCCACCGGGAAUUCCAUUCUCCCCUACCUUCCUCAAGUCAGCCCGUAUCGCAAGCAGGCCCAGGGUUAAGCCCUGAGUUUUCACUUCCGACGCAACCAACCGCCUACAAGCUCUUUACGCCCAAUAAUUCCGGACAACGCUCGCACCCUACGUAUCACCGCGGCUGCUGGCACGUAGUUAGCCGGUGCUUCUUCUGUAGGUACCGUCACUUGCGCUUCGUCCCUACUGAAAGCGGUUUACAACCCGAAGGCCGUCAUCCCGCACGCGGCGUUGCUGCAUCAGGCUUCCGCCCAUUGUGCAAUAUUCCCCACUGCUGCCUCCCGUAGG
rnacentral:rRNA from 1 species